CUUUCAGAAUACAUACCUUUGGCUGUUUUCAAAAUUGUAUAUAGUUGUUGCUGAAAAAUCAGACACUUGUAUAUAAAAUGAUCAUUGGCAGCUUAACUCAUCAUUUAUUGAUGUUUACAUGGGAAAGGUUGAGCAGCUUGGUGAUUUCAGUGCUGUAACCCUCCUCCCCCCCACCAGCAAUAAUGUCUAGAUAGCCCCUGCAAGGGUUAAUAACAAAGAUUACGUCUGCUUUGGGUGCCUAAUCAAUGAAGGCCCAUGUUACAAAACGAGCACAACAGUGCUGAAGUGUAAUGGGUGUUCAGGAAACCAGCAGAAAAGAGACAGUAUGAUGGCCAGAACACCAAUCUUCUCUUUCAGGAGGUCUCUGAAGUGAGGGAGGUGUGCACUGACGACAAUGGUGGAGAUGUAUCUAGUCCUCACAGGCAAAUGACAAUUUGGCACCUACCUGUCAGUUGUGCCUCGAGGACAUCUCCGACUUACAGAAGCCAAUCAGCGGAGGGAGAUUACAGUAGACGGAGCAGUGAGAUUUGCAUAUUAACAGCGUCGUUAUUGAAGAAUAGCUGGCUCGUAUUUAGACCAAACGGUGCUCUCCCAUUAGCCAAUAACAGCUGCCAGCCAAUGCAGAUGAGGGAUUCAAAGGUUGUACGUUGUGUAGUUAUUCAUUUAUUUUUUGCAUUUUUUUCUCUCUCUUUUUUCUUUUUUUCUUUUUUUUCUUCGUCUUUAGAGUGCUGAUAUAAAUCAGAUACCGAACCCAGCGAGCAGGCUCUGCUCACCCGUUUGGCUAUGGCUCUGUAACGGCACGGCAGCACAGCCCUCCCAUUGGCUCGGGCUAGUCUAUCCCUGCGUAAUGGAUCAUAUUGUGUAUAUUAAUGUUUCGGCUUUACAGUUCUAUUUCCAUUAGGGGAAGAUUGCCUGUGAGCCUCUUAGUGGUUAAAUAGGAAUUUACAGCUUUCAGAAAUUCUCUUAAAGCUUGCAGUAUCCACAGAAGAAGGAAUUACACAUGACUAUUUUUUGAAGCUUUAAAAGGUCCAGAGGGCCUAAUUGUGCUCUCAGAUACGUCUGUGCAGCUCCUAUUGAAGCCUUUGGUUAUAAUGCAUGCUUACGAGGCAGCUAAAAUGUGUCUUUUUAAAAUAAUAAUAAUAAAAAUCCUUCAGUUAUUAAAAAAUUAGACUGU
rnacentral:lncRNA from 1 species